rnacentral:rRNA from 1 species
CGAACGCUGGCGGCGUGCUUCACACAUGCAAGUCGAACGGAAAGGCCCUGCUUUUGUGGGGUGCUCGAGUGGCGAACGGGUGAGUAACACGUGAGUAACCUGCCCUUGACUUUGGGAUAACUUCAGGAAACUGGGGCUAAUACCGGAUAGGAGCUCCUGCUGCAUGGUGGGGGUUGGAAAGUUUCGGCGGUUGGGGAUGGACUCGCGGCUUAUCAGCUUGUUGGUGGGGUAGUGGCUUACCAAGGCUUUGACGGGUAGCCGGCCUGAGAGGGUGACCGGCCACAUUGGGACUGAGAUACGGCCCAGACUCCUACGGGAGGCAGCAGUGGGGAAUAUUGCACAAUGGGCGGAAGCCUGAUGCAGCAACGCCGCGUGCGGGAUGACGGCCUUCGGGUUGUAAACCGCUUUCGCCUGUGACGAAGCGUGAGUGACGGUAAUGGGUAAAGAAGCACCGGCUAACUACGUG